rnacentral:misc_RNA from 1 species
AAAGUCGUAACAAGGUCUCCGUAGGUGAACCUGCGGAGGGAUCAUUACAAGAACGCCCGGGCUACGGCCUGGUUAUUCAUAACCCUUUGUUGUCCGACUCUGUUGCCUCCGGGGCGACCCUGCCUUCGGGCGGGGGCUCCGGGUGGACACUUCAAACUCUUGCGUAACUUUGCAGUCUGAGUAAACUUAAUUAAUAAAUUAAAACUUUUAACAACGGAUCUCUUGGUUCUG